UACGUAGGGGGCAAGCGUUGUCCGGAAUCAUUGGGCGUAAAGCGCGCGUAGGCGGCCCGGUAAGUCCGCUGUAAAAGUCAAAGGCUCAACCUUUGAAUGCCGGUGGAUACUGUCGGGCUAGAGUCCGGAAGAGGAGAGUGGAAUUCCUGGUGUAGCGGUGAAAUGCGCAGAUAUCAGGAAGAACACCCGUGGCGAAAGCGGCUCUCUGGAACGGUACUGACGCUGAGACGCGAAAGCGUGGGGAGCGAACAGG
rnacentral:rRNA from 1 species